rnacentral:rRNA from 1 species
AUUGAACGCUGGCGGCAGGCCUAUCACAUGCACGUCGAGCGGAGCGCCGGACGGGUGAGUAAUGCCUAGGUAUCUGCCCGGUAGUGGGGGAUACCGUCCGGAAACGGGCGCUAAUACCGCAUAAUUUCAGAUGAGCCUAGGUCGACUUAGCUAGUUGGUGAAGUAAAGGCCUACCAGGGCGACGAUCCGUAACUGCUCUGAGAGGAUGAUAAGUCACACUGGAACUGAGACACGGUCCAGACUCCUACGGGAGGCAGCAGUGGGGAAUAUUGGACAAUGGGCGAAAGCCUGAUCCAGCCAUGCCGCGUGUGGGAAGAAGGGCUUCGGAUUGUAAAGCACUUUAAGUUGGAAGGCGGUACCAACAGAAGAAGCACCGGCUAACUUCGUGCCAGCAGCCGCGGUAAUUC